AGAGUUUGAUCAUGGCUCAGGAUGAACGCUAGCUACAGGCUUAACACAUGCAAGUCGAGCGGUAUGUGCUUUAGUGCAUACAGCGGCAGACGGGUGAGUAACACGUAUCUAACCUUUCCCUUUACUUGGGCAUAGCCUCUGGAAACGGAGAUUAAUUUCCGAUGUGGUGUACAUUUCGCAUGUUUUGCGCACCAAAGAUUUAUCGGUAAGGGAUGGGGAUGCGCUCCAUUAGGUUGUAGGUAGGGUAAUGGCCUACCUAGCCUAUGAUGGAUAGGGGUUCUGAGAGGAAGGUCCCCCACAUUGGAACUGCGACACGGUCCAAACUCCUACGGGAGGCAGCAGUGAGGAAUAUUGGUCAAUGGCCGGAAGGCUGAACCAGCCAAGUAGCGUGCAGGAUGACUGCCUUAUGGGUUGUAAACUGCUUUUUUACGGGAAUAAUUAUGAUCACGUGUGAUUAUUUGCAUGUACCGUAAGAAUAAGGAUCGGCUAACUCCGUGCCAGCAGCCGCGGUAAUACGGAGGAUCCUAGUGUUAUCCGGAUUUAUUGGGUUUAAAGGGAGCGUAGGCGGGAGGUCAAGUCAGCUGUGAAAUGUAUCUGCUUAACGGGUACACUGCAGUUGAAACUGGUUUUCUUGAGUGCGUAAGAGGCAGGCGGAAUUCGUUGUGUAGCGGUGAAAUGCUUAGAUAUGACGAGGAACUCCUAUUGCGAAGGCAGCUUGCUGGGUCGUUACUGACGCUGAUGCUCGAAGGUGCGGGGAUCAAACAGGAUUAGAUACCCUGGUAGUCCGCACAGUAAACUAUGGAUACUCUCUGCCGGCGAUACAUUGUCGGUGGCCAAGCGAAAGCGUUAAGUAUCCCACUUGGGGAGUACGUUCGCAAGAAUGAAACUCAAAGGAAUUGACGG
rnacentral:rRNA from 1 species